rnacentral:lncRNA from 1 species
ACGAAACGAAAAAAUACAAACAAUGUCGCUCCCCUCGAUCUCCCGGCCAGGCUCCCCUUGAUCCAAUCUCCCCACCGCUGCCGAGGUAUGAGAUCGCCGCCACCGAGCCAACGUACGGGGUCACUGCCGAGCCGAUGUACAUGAUCGCCUCCAUCGCGUUCCUUCCCUCGCCACGCCCCUCCUAAUUUAUUCCGGUAACCCAGCUAGGGUUCUCACCCGCCGCCGCUUCGCUGAUGCCACCCCGCCACCCGAUGCCCUCCAUGGACGCCACCACCGCGAUGGCGCAAGGACGAACAAAAGGGUGGUCGUCGAGGUUGGGCACCGCCGUGAGGAUGCUGGCGCCCGUGCGCGCGGUGAUGGCAUGGUGGCAGAAGAAGGUCGUCUUCCCGAGGAGCCGCGUGCUGGCGGGCGUCUCCAUCCGCGGCCUCGCCAGAAAGACAGGUAUGCCGCCGAGCCCUCGACGUACUCCCUACUCCCGUAUAGGUAUGGCCAAGCCUGUAUCGCUUAUCUUUCCCCAUACUGCCUUGGCAGAUCUUAGUGAGAUGGACUUCACUAGAAAUUCCUCUAUGAAUUUGGAACCUAUAAAGGAGAUUUAACUUUUAAGAAGCAUAGAAUGUUGUGCUAUUAUGCAUUGCCGUGAUUUGGUCUGGGUGAAUUAAUAUAUUGGGAUCUUUGUGGAUGGGGAUUAUCUUGCUUCUUCUUAUAUUGGAACAAUUGAGAGAAGCAAGGGUAGUAAUAUCAACACCUGAUCACUCUCUAGGCUGUGGCGAGAGUUUGUGUAUAUCUAUUUAGUGUCAACCUCAUGUGCGUGCUAGCCACGUUCUGCCACCGCGGGCACCCUAUUUUCCUUGGUAUGAGCCAUGGAAGCACUUGGGUGAUGUUCUGGUGAUAAAAAUGUUGUUUAAAAUGCUGAAGGUUCGUGAUUUCUUACCAAGUUAUAUGCGGUUCUAACCCAAAUGGCACGAUGAUGAUUCCUUCUCUUUGCUUUUCAGUGAUUAUACCGACCGAUAUAUCUAUCUAUUGGGAGGUUGUUUUGCUAUCAAUUGCGAUCCUAGGUUUAUGGUCAUUUCAUGCUUGGUAAAAAGUCUGAACUGUUUUAAUCAUUCAGGCAUUAUAAGUUCAGGGCAGGCUGCGACGAACGACGCAAGGAGUCAGUGUCGGAGGUACACAUUUAUGUUGAAGAACCAGACGAACAAAUCUCAUGAAAUGCUCAACACACGAAAGAUAUUUCAUCACACGGCGACUACAGUUUUUUGCUCUGUUGUUUGGUAAGUUUAUGCAACUCAGGAAACAAACUUAAGUAAUGAAACACAAUGCCCAAUAAUUCUGGUUCAAACUUUAGUAAUGUAAUUGAAUGCCUAACAAAUCUGUAGCUAGCUUAAUCAUUUUUUCCCACGCAUCGCGAGCGUACUGGACGGCGGGAACGAACGCGUCAAGGAGGACGCCAGCGAUGGUGGUUCCAGGGAAAUCAUGCCGCCGCUGGCCACGGGAGGAUGUCCGUCUGCGUUAACCUGGUCGAGAAGAAUCUUCAAUGACACCAUACAUACCCUUUGAGCUCCCCAAACUCUUGGCCAUAGCCUCUUCCGCUUUUCACAACAAGUUAGUUCUCUCUACACUAGCAUUAGUACUUUUUAGUAAUCACUAAUGUAGGAUUCUGAAUAAAUUUUAUAUGAGAUCUAGGCGUUAAUCGUGCAGGCUUUUGUCUAAAGUUCUUUCUUUUGCAAUUUGGACUGUAUAUUAAGUUUGAAUAUUACAGAAACAGUUGGCAUAUAAUUUUCCAGCAUGUUAUUUUAUGUAUAAGUUUUGUAUCUCCUUUGUAAAGAUUAAAUGGUGAAUAGAUUUUUUUCUCCGUUGUUUGGUAAGUUCAUGUAACUCGGGAAACAAACUUUAGUAAGGAAAUACAAUGCCUAAUAAUUCUGGUUCAAACUUUAGUAAUGUAAUUGAAUGCCUAAAAAAAUUGUAGAUAGCUUAAUAUUUCUUCUCACGCAUCGUGAGCACGCUGGACGACGCGAACGAACGUGUCAAGGAGGACGCCAACGAUGGUGGUUCCAGGGGUUAACACAGUCGCUAGCCAUGGGAGGAUGCGUGUGUGCAUUUACCUGGUUGCAUCUACUAGUCAAUCAAUUUUAUUUUAUUCUAAAGAUCAUGUGUGUCGGUUUUGAUUGUUGUUUUAUCUUCUCUUUUUUCCUAAAUUCAGCUUUCAAAACUGGGUUAUGCAUAGAUGAUGAUCACUGCUACAACUCAAAGUGAAGACUUUUCUAUCUAAACCUAAUUGAAGUAUUCUGAUGAUGGUGAAAAAGGCUCUAGCAAGUAUCUAAUGCAUAUACAUGAGUUUAUAUUAUUUAUCAUAUUCACAUACUAAUAUAUUCAUGAUUAUUUUGCAUUGUAGAGUGCUAGCACGCUACAUUAUGGAGCUAGCACGCUACAUUACGGAGAAAACGUUGAGAGAAUGCUUUGUUGAGAUGAUAGACAGGAAUAAUCAAUCCUUUUUCCACGGUUAGAUUUGUACUCCCUUCCCAGUUCUUCUUUGCAAAGGACCAAUCCUCUUAUAUUAUCCAUUCAUGUUGUCUUAACUAGAUGAUGCCCCGCGCGUUGUGGCGGGAACCUUGUUAAAAAAUGUAUGGAUAAAUGAUAGAAGACUAAAAUUAAUGCAAAAACAAAUAUAAAAAUUUCUUACAUGACUUAAUUCCGUGGGAAAAAUAAUGCAUGAGGUGGUAUGUUUUGCAUGAAGAGAUUAAUUGAAAAAGUAAUUUAUGAUUUCAUGCAUGACUUGAUGAUGUGGCAUUGUUGCAGGUCGGUGGCGGUGGGUCUGGAGAUGCGGAUGCCCCCGCAUAGCGCGGCGCCAAUGGCACUCGUGGGAUCCUUCAUCACCCAAGGUAAACCUGUGCUUGACUUCCUUUCUUAUGCUCCUCAUGUUUUGUUGGUUGUUACCUACCAUUAGAUUGGAUGUUUGUUCUCUGGCUGUACAUAGUCAAUUCUGGUGAGCUAUUUUGGACUAAUGAGGUUUGUGGGGUCAAUAAGUAUGGCACAAACUGUGUUGAUCUUCAACGCACGUAUGCUUUCCUAAAUUGGAUUGAUUUGCCGACGUCGAGUUAGUGUGCACCAGCGGGCGUAGCUUCGCCUAUGUCAACUUUCACUGUUCCUCCCCUAAGGUCGUGACCAAGUUAUUCUCCACCGUAAGCAUCCACCACCCCAUCAGCAAUCUCAUUGUAACUAUUUUUCUACACUUCGACAACAAUUAAUAGUAGCGGAUUGGGAUUUUGUUGAUUAUCCGCAUUAGCCGUGUGUGUUCUCUGGUUUGAAUGGAGAAUUUUGUGUUAGGCGAGUAGAGCUUUACCAACUUAAUAACAGAGGAUGGUGCUUGCACUUGUUGUGGGUGUUGAUGGUUCCCAUGUCUUGGUUCCUUGGAAUGGCGAUUCAAGAAACAUCAUCGUGUUGAUUGACCAUAGGGUGAUUGACCAAGCCAAGUGAAUUAAUUCUCACAGUUCAUCAGUAUUGCAAUUUUAUGGUGGGAGCGUCUCCCCAGAAAUCUCUACUCCUAAGGUAACCAGUUUUUUCUCCAUGAAUAUGAUUCUCCAACUUCCUGAUUCAUUAUUUGUAAAAAACACUAAUGAUAUUGUUGGGCCUCUGAACCAUUGUGUUGAUUGCCAUGUUUUGCUUGAAUAUCUCAGAAUGUCCGAAUUCUAGCAUUUGAAAAGUUGAACAACACAAUGUUACUGAAAAUAUGUUGGAUUGCGUGAAGAAUACGGAUAAAUAGUUUUGAAUUAUUUUGUAGCGAGACACAUGCACCUGGUGUUGUCUACCUUAUCCAACACCUAUCGAUAAUGUCAAUAAGAUACAAUAUUGUUAUGGAAAGUCCAUAACAAACUAAUUCCAACAUUAUGUGAUUUGCUGACACAUCUCAUGGUAUCGAUAUUAAUAAAGGUUUUCUGUUAUAAGUUUUACUGUGAGACUAGGCAUCUUUUGUUUUCAAAACAAUAGACUCAUGCAUAGUUAAUUUGACUUGAAUGAAGCAGGUAUUCUCAUUCCAUAUUUUUAUUUGCUUUCAUGCACAAAGGCUACUUGAUCUUGGUAAGCUUCAGGAGAUUGCUGUAAAAUCUGUACGAGUAUGUGAACGUGAGAAAUCAAGCUCUCCCAUAUGAACAUUCCUUGUACCGUUGGAUAUGACCCAGCAAGCAAUAUGAUUACCAUGCGAAUGAAGCGAAAGACAACAUUCCUGACGUUUGUGUUCAUCAAUAUCUCAAACGCAUAAGUAUGUCUUAGUUUGUAACUGAUAAUUAUCAUCGAUCUCUUUAUAUACAUUGUUGAUUACAUUGUAAAUGGACUGAAGUUCAAUUUUUAUAUACAUGUCAAAUUCUGGCAUUGAUCUCUUUAUAUACAUUAUUUAUUAUUUUGACGGGUACUACGGCGAGCUUCCACCUGCUUGAGCUAUAUGCAUUAUCUUUAUAUAUGUAAAAUCAGGAAAGGAAGAAGCCCGUGGCAACGCACGGACGUUCUACUAGUAUAAAAUUAAAGAGGAGUGUUGGGCGCCGGCGCGCCAGCGCGAGCUCGCGCCGGCCGUACAAUAGCCGUCGGACCGGGGGGGCCCUUGAACCGUCAGAUCUCGUCUUCGUCCUCAACCUCGAGCCACGAGCGCCUCGCCGACCAUCCUCGUCUAGCGCGCAGCGGCGCUCCCCUCGCCCCUCCCCUUUUCCCCCUGCCCCCUGGCGGUCGAAGGGUCCUUCUCCCGUCGCCCCCUCUCGCCGGACGUCCUCCCCGUCGGUCGUCGUCCUUGCAGAGCCAACAAACGUGAGCGCCUUAUCGGUCCUUCGUUGCAGCUUUUUUCAUCAACGGUUGUAGCAUUUUAUGUCAAUAGUUGCAACAUUCCGUCAUAGCAAUGACCGCUUGCAGCUUUUAUAUGUCUGGUUGCAGCUUUUUUCAUCAACGAUUGUAGCAUUUUAUGUCAACGACUGCAGCAUUCCGUCAUGGCAAUGACCGCUUGCAGCUUUUUAUAUGUAUGGUUACAGCUUUUUUAAUCAACGGUUGUAGCAUUUUAUGUCAACGGUUGCAGCAUUCCGUCAUGGCAAAUGACCGCUUGCACUAUCAUAUGCCUAGUUGAAGCUUUUUCAUUUUGGGUUUUGAAGCUUUUUCAAAUACCCGUUGCAGCAAUUUUGGGCGACGUUUGUAACAUUUGUAUACGCGCGCCCGACCACGGCGGCAGGCGACAAGGACGAUGGGCGAAGGCUGGAUCCGACGAUGCGGACGGUCGACGGUGGCGGGAACUGGCGAUCCGGGCGGGCCGACGGGGGCAGGGACCGGUACAACAACGACAACAACGCAGGGGCGCGCACAUGGUGAGCCUCUUCGACUAUGAGCUGCACCACGCACGAACCGUCAGAAUGAGAAAGAGAUCGCAGAAUAAAAUAGGAGAUCGACGACCCGCGUGCGUCGAGCCGAACGUUCGGCCGGGCGCAGACGAAGAACGUUUCUCAAAAUUAAAUCAUUAAUUUUAGGAGAGAGGAGUAUAUCAAUACUUGCUUGAGGAAGAGCGAAACUGAUGGGGCCCAAACUAGGCAACUGGUUCGGAUCCGAUUCCCCACUCCCACACCGCCCGAUUAGGAAACCACACUAGAACUAUUAUCUUGGCAAAUCGCAUCGGACGGUCCAUAUUCAUCCUUACCCUUAACCUCGGCUGGACAGCCACCCAUCCUUCCUCGUGAAACUAAAACUCUGCCUUUCCUCCAAAAAGUACUGAAGCCCUGCCUCCACACCCACUGGCACAGAGACCCCACCAAACAACGGGCCUGCAUGUCACCGACCGAAGCAAAGAAAAUUCCGUGGCGAACUUGAUAUUCCUGCCUUCCCUAAAAGAAAAAAACUAGAUAUUGCGGCCACGUUGGUGUCCGCCGAGCUCAGAGUGAAUGAAACAAAGAGAAGGAGAAAGCGAGAGGAGAGGCGGACGCGAGACGGGACUAGCGCCACUCCAUUCCAUUCCAUUCCACUUCCCUCCCUCGCUUGCCUUCCUUCCUUCCUAGCACAGCAUCCCCAGAUAGAUAGAUAGAAACCCCCGAUUCCGAUCGCCGGGAUGAGGUUCUGACCCCCGAUUCGGUCCGUCGAUUCUAAUUUCCCCUCGAUUUGGUGCGGGAUUAGCGGCCGGAAAUUAAUCGCCAUGACGGCGUCGUCGCCGAUGGUGCUGUCCCUCCUGCUCUUCGCGUCGCUCACGGCGCUGCUCUUCCUGGCUCCUCGCGCGUCGUCACCGCCGCUACCGCUGCCGCUGCCCGUGCUGGUUGGGGACGAGGAGGCGCCGCCCGCCGCUGGGAGUGCUGCUGGUGGUGCGGCCAGCAGCGGAGGAGGGGCGGGAGUUGAGGAGGGGCCGGAGGACCUCGCGCUCUUCCGGCGCGUGACGCUCGACGCCGGCGAGGGCGCGGCGAUGGCGUCCAAGGUGGCGUUCAUGUUUCUGACCAACUCCGACCUCACCUUCGCGCCGCUUUGGGAGUGCUUCUUCGCGGGGCACGGCGACCGCUUCAACGUGUACGUGCACGCAGACCCGGCGGUGCGCCUGCGGCUUCCCCCUACGCCUUCCUUCCGGGGCCGCUUCGUCGCGGCCAAGCCGACGCGGCGUGGGGACCCGAGCCUCAUCGCGGCAGCGCGGCGCUUGCUUGUCGCAGCGCUGCUCGACGACCCGGCCAACGCCUACUUCGCGCUGCUCUCGCAGCACUGCGUUCCGCUCCACUCCUUCCCGCGGCUCUACGAGGCGCUCUUCCCGCCCAGAGCCGCGCACCACCACCGCCUCCCGAGCUAUAUCGAGGUGCUCACCGGCGAGCCCCAGAUGCCCGUGCGCUACGUGGCGCGCGGUGAGGACGCCAUGCUCCCGGAGGUGCCCUUCGACCGGUUCCGCAUCGGGUCCCAGUUCUUCACGCUGGCCCGUCGCCACGCCGUGCUAGUGGUCCGCGAGCGCCGUCUCUGGCGAAAGUUCAGGGAGCCGUGCCUGCCGGAGUCGCAGGACUCUUGUUACCCGGAGGAGCACUAUUUCCCGACGCUACUCGACAUGGCCGACCCCGCCGGCUGCACCCGGUACACGCUCACGCGCGUCAACUGGACCGACAGCUUCGAAGGCCACCCGCACACGUAUUCCGCGCCAGAGGUGUCGCCGCGGCUCAUAACCGAGCUGCGCCUGUCCAACACCUCCACCUAUGAGCACAUGUUCGCGCGCAAGUUCGCUCCCGACUGCCUUGGCCCGCUCAUGGCCAUCGCCGACACUGUCAUCUUCAAAGAUUGAUCGAUGCGGUGCUCUGCACCAUAGCUGCACAUAGGAGGUACGUUCUGACGCCUGAUUUCUGAAAAGUUCCAUAGGUUCUAGACACUACUUCUUGGUUAUGCUCCUGAGCCAUGCAUGCAUUUUAAUCACAAAUUUGCAACCCAUAGAUGAUCGAAACAUAUUGCUAAUGUCAGUUCACCCCCCAAAUUCAUUUAAUAUACUGGAACAUCUUGUGAGACGAGAUGACUGAAGAACAUUGAAUACAUUUUUUUUUUGGAAAAAUCUCCUAUCUGCUUUAGUUUCUACUCCCUCCGUCCCAAAAUAAGUGACUCAAAAAUGACUCAUUUUGGGACGGAGGGAGUAUAUGUAAGCAUGUUGCUUCAUUUAAUUCGUGAAUCGGCAACUCGAAGUCUUGUGCUCUCUGGAUCGAUGGAAUUAUGUCAGAACCCUACAGUCAACAGCGAUAUGCUGAGACCACCGAGUGCCGUAUUCAACGACUGUAACGCAGUGUGCUGCUACCCAUUAUCUUGCCUUGUUCUUUUCAAGGAUACCAUUGUCUUGCCUUUUGACCAGUUUUCCCUUCAGAUUAGAGUAGUUGGCUCCUUGUAUAGUUCAGUUCUAGUAUUGGCGAAAUAGAACUACUCCUGGCUAAGAAACCUCAUUGCUUUUGCAGGUCUAUAUCAGUUAGAGUUGCGCGUGCGACGACGAAAGCAGUGUGUUUCUCCUUCGCAUCUUCACACGGUUCAGACUGGUGUUCUCUCUCUCUGUUCUCCACCGUUCUCCUCCUGGUACUUUUAUGUCGACUUAAGUGGCAACAGCCUAAUGCAAAGCGGCAGGUGUUGCAUCUGAUGGCCAGUCCACCGAUCCACUGUAUUGUUCCAACCUCGUGCGGCUGCCUAAGGCUGCUGUUCUGUUGAAAUACGUAAAGCGAUAGAUUGUGGCGGUGUUGUGUUCAGCGGAAAACGAUAUGGAACCUUUUACGGUUUAUUUCAGCUUGUGUACAUAAACAAGGGAUGAAAUAAUCAUUCUGCAAGCAAGUUUUCGUAGCUCUAGCAACGUGACUCAUUGUUACUCCCUCGGUCCUUUUUAGUCUGCAUAUAAGUUUUGUCGAAAGUCAAAGGAUCUCUACUUUGACCAAACUUAUAAAAAAAUUUAUCAACAUUCAUCAUGCCAAAUCAAUAUUGUUAGAUUCUUUACGAAAUGUAGUUUCAUAAUGCAUAUAUUUGGUAUUGUAGAUAUUGAUAUUUUUUAAUAUAAAUUUGGUCAAACUUUGUAAAGUUUGACUUGACUGAAAUCUAAAACGCGGAGUAAAAAGGACGGAAGGGAGUACUUGUGACUCUCAUUGUUACUUAUAUGCGAUCUGUAAACCAAACCGCACGGCCGGGACGCGUUUUGUUAUCCAAUGUAACCGAAAACAAAAUGGCGGUUUUGCAGACAUUUGAAUCGUUAUCAUGUACUGUCUAUCAGAGCCCUCCCGACCCCUCACGUAUCGCCCCCGCCUGGCGACGCGUGUGGGGUGGGGGCUAGCACUGCCGUGUCCCUCGCCCCCGCGUGGGCGCCGGGGGGGGNNNNNNNNNNNNNNNNNNNNNNNNNNNNNNNNNNNNNNNNNNNNNNNNNNNNNNNNNNNNNNNNNNNNNNNNNNNNNNNNNNNNNNNNNNNNNNNNNNNNUAACCCUCUUGCCAUGUAUUUUCAAGCGGUCAUUUGUAUUUUUGCGUGUAGGGAUUGUCGCUAGUUUAUUUUUCCGUGUAUAGGUUAUUUUCUCGCAUUUACGUGUGGUGAGAUUAUUGUGUUGCAACCCCACAUGUUUUAUAUGUUUUCGGGGUAGAAAAAUCCAUGGGAUUUUUCUGUGUAUUUAGUUUUAGCUUUUGAGCAAGUUAGUUCACGCGAGAAUUUGCCAUGUUGCCCUCUUGUCUAUUUCGUAGGAUUUAUUCCGUGCUUCGUUUGAUUAAGUUGUCAACUAGGGAGUUGUUCUUGGGUGUUNNNNNNNNNNUCCAUAGCUUUUGAGCAAGUUAGUUCGCGCGAGAUUUUGCCAUGUUGCCCUCUUGUCUAUUUCGUAGGAUUUAUUCUGUGCUUCGUUUGAUUAAGUUGUCAACUAGGGAGUUGUUCUUGGGUGUUUAGACUAGCCCCUGGUAAUUUUGGUUGCAAUAGAAAUGCAUGUUUAUGUGUGGUUUGCUUGAUCUCAAGUUGCUAGAAAUAGUGCUAAUUUGGAGGUGCUGAAAUAUUUCUAAGUCUGGAAUCUGUUAUAUUUUGNNNNNNNNNNCUUUUGGUUGCAAUAGAAAUGCAUGUUUAGGUAUGGUUUUCUUGCUCUCAAGUUGCUAGAAAUAGUGCUGAUUUGGAGGUGCUGAAAUAUUUCUAAGUCUGGAAUCUGUUAUAUUUUGUUGCUAUUUUGUUUUGCUUCUAUCUUGUGAUCUGUAGCUCUUUUGAGGUUGGUGCAAUGGAGUUAGUUGUAGACUUUGUGUUUAUNNNNNNNNNNUCUGUUUUGUUUUGCUUUUAUCUUGUGAUCUGUAUCUCUUUUGAGGUUGGUGCAAUGGAGUUAGUUGUAGACUUUGUGUUUAUCUAGCAUGCUGUGAAUUUUCAUGCCAUUUGGACUCCUGUAGCUAUUGGUUUUGCUUCUGUCAAUAUGGCUUCAGAUCGAAAUCUGCACUUUCAUGAAGUGUAAUUUUCACUAAGUCUGAAAUAGUGUGUGAGAUACCAUUUGGUGACUUCUUUCCCUAGUGAUCCAUCAUGCGAUGCUAGUUGUUGUUAGUUGUUUGUUGUAGUGCUUCUUGCCCUCUUUCGUGUCAUGCCUUGGUUGAUUAUAUUUGAGUUGUGUAGCUCGUAGUUGUGGGGUGUAGAAAGNNNNNNNNNNGAUGCCAUGCUAGUUGUUGUUAGCUGUUUGUUGUAGUGCUUCUUGCCCUCUUUCGUUUCAUGCCUUUGUUGAUUAUAUUUGAGUUGUGUAGCUCGUAGUUGUGGGGUGUAGAAAGUGCUAUGUGGCUGAUUUUGGCAGAUUGUAGUGAUUUCUUGUUUUGCUCGUAGUUGUUGAACCGUAGCUCCGUCUUGAUCGUCUCCUAGAUGAAACUUGCUUAGAAUCUCGUGUAGUUUAAUUUUCUCUUGCUGGUUGUAUGUUUUGAAGUACUCGUGACCAUCGAUGCACACAUAUUGCAUUCAUGCCAUCAUAUCUUGCGGUGCUUGUAUCUUUUGAACCGUAGCUCCGUUGGAGAUGUUCUCUAUGUGUAAAUUGCUUGUAACGACGCGUAGAUUUGCGUGAACCUAUUUGUUUUGAUGUUUAACAAAUAAUUAUAUGUGCUAGAUCAGAUCUGGACAGAAUUGUAAAUUAACAUGUGAGGUCGUCUCGGAGGNNNNNNNNNNNNNNNNNNNNNNNNNNNNNNNNNNNNNNNNNNNNNNNNNNNNNNNNNNNNNNNNNNNNNNNNNNNNNNNNNNNNNNNNNNNNNNNNNNNNGAUCGGGGUUGUUAUGGGGACCCCCUUGAUAAUUCGUUUUAGAUUAAAGCUGGUCUCGCAAGGCCCAAUAUUGGUACUACAUUUGCCCAACAUAAUAAUUCUGUUAAAAUGAAAUGCAUAGGGAGUUAGUGCUACCCGAGGAGUAAUUCCAAAACAGAGCACUGUGCGGGGCCAACCCAGGGCAAAUUGGGUGAUUUCUAUCAGGCCUCCGUACGCGUAGCUUAUCCGUCGUGUCCUGAGAACAUGAUACGCGGCUCCUAUCGGGAUCGUCGACACGCCGGGUGGCCUUGCUGGAUUAGUUUUACCUUUGACGAGAUAUCUUGUGCAUCGGGAUUCCGGUGAUGCUUUGGGUAAUCUCAGAGUUGAGGUUUUCCACUAAGGAGUCCGACGAGAUCGCGAGUUUCGUGAUUGAGGAUUUCUAUGCGGCUUGUGGUAAUUUGUGAUGGACUAGUUGGAGCACCCCUGCAGGGUUAAAUCUUUCGGAAAGCCGUGCCCGCGGUUACGUGGCAACNNNNNNNNNNNNNNNNNNNNNNNNNNNNNNNNNNNNNNNNNNNNNNNNNNNNNNNNNNNNNNNNNNNNNNNNNNNNNNNNNNNNNNNNNNNNNNNNNNNNUUGGACGCGCUCUCCUCCUCCACCCAGGAGAUACCGGCCUCCAGCGCCUCCGCCACCUUCUUGAAGAAGGCGUGGUAGCCCCCAUCGCUCCUCAUGUUUGGUAGCGCCGGGGCCUCCCCCGCAAACCGGCGCAUCGCAUCAGCCGCCCGGCCACCGAUGCUCGCGAACUGCUUGGCACGCUGGGAAGCCAUGAUCCGGGCGAACGACGCCUCGUCCUUGGCAGCCAAGAUGGCGUUGGUCGCCUUCUCGACCUGCUUCUGCAGCGACGUCAUCUCGGCCUUGGCCUCCGCUUCGCCCUAACAGGCGGCCUCAACAGUCUCGAGCUGAGCCCGCAGCCCCUCCACCUCCUCCUGAAGCUCGCCUAGCCUAAGCCUCUUAGCCAAGGGCGCUCUGGAGUAAAGGAAAGAUCUACCGACAAGCAGCACAUGGGACGAAAAGGAGAUGAGACGCAGACGAGGGACUUACUCGUCGCUCAGGGCCCAACGAUGACGGACGCCUAACGACUAGGAGGGCCCUCUGCCGCUGUGACAGCCCGAGACCGACGUUCCAGAAGAUUCCCCCUUUAUUUCGUUUNNNNNNNNNNNNNNNNNNNNNNNNNNNNNNNNNNNNNNNNNNNNNNNNNNNNNNNNNNNNNNNNNNNNNNNNNNNNNNNNNNNNNNNNNNNNNNNNNNNNUCUAGCACAUAUAAUUAUUUGUUAAACAUCAAAACAAAUAGGUUCACGCAAAUCUACGCGUCGUUACAAGCAAUUUACACAUAGAGAACAUCUCCAACGGAGCUACGGUUCAAAAGAUACAAGCACCGCAAGAUAUGAUGGCAUGAAUGCAAUAUGUGUGCAUCGAUGGUCACGAGUACUUCAAAACAUACAACCAGCAAGAGAAAAUUAAACUACACGAGAUUCUAAGCAAGUUUCAUCUAGGAGACGAUCAAGACGGAGCUACGGUUCAACAACUACGAGCAAAACAAGAAAUCACUACAANNNNNNNNNNAAAGGCAUGAAACGAAAGAGGGCAAGAAGCACUACAACAAACAGCUAACAACAACUAGCAUGGCAUCAUGGAUCACUAGGGAAAGAAGUCACCAAAUGGUAUCUCACACACUAUUNNNNNNNNNNUCUGCCAAAAUCAGCCACAUAGCACUUUCUACACCCCACAACUACGAGCUACACAACUCAAAUAUAAUCAACCAAGGCAUGACACGAAAGAGGGCAAGAAGCACUACAACAAACAACUAACAACAACUAGCAUCGCAUGAUGGAUCACUAGGGAAAGAAGUCACCAAAUGGUAUCUCACACACUAUUUCAGACUUAGUGAAAAUUACACUUCAUGAAAGUGCAGAUUUCGAUCUGAAGCCAUAUUGACAGAAGCAAAACCAAUAGCUACAGGAGUCCAAAUGGCAUGAAAAUUCACAGCAUGCUAGAUAAACACAAAGUCUACAACUAACUCCAUUGCACCAACCUCAAAAGAGCUACAGAUCACAAGAUAGAAGCAAAACAAAAUAGCAACAAAAUAUAACAGAUUCCAGACUUAGAAAUAUUUCAGCACCUCCAAAUCAGCACUAUUUCUAGCAACUUGAGAGCAAGAAAACCAUACCUAAACAUGCAUUUCUAUUGCAACCAAAAGUACCAGGGGCUAGUCUAAACACCCAAGAACAACUCCCUAGUUGACAACUUAAUCAAACGAAGCACAGAAUAAAUCCUACGAAAUAGACAAGAGGGCAACAUGGCAAAAUCUCGCGCGAACUAACUUGCUCAAAAGCUAUGGAAUUUUUCUACCCCGAAAACAUAUAAAACAUGUGGGGUUGCAACACAAUNNNNNNNNNNGGAAUAAAUCCUACGAAAUAGACAAGAGGGCAACAUGGCAAAUUCUCGCGUGAACUAACUUGCUCAAAAGCUAAAACUAAAUACACAGAAAAAUCCCNNNNNNNNNNNNNNNNNNNNNNNNNNNNNNNNNNNNNNNNNNNNNNNNNNNNNNNNNNNNNNNNNNNNNNNNNNNNNNNNNNNNNNNNNNNNNNNNNNNNUAACUCUCCUACACUACAAGAGGAUCUCGCCCCGAGAUCCAAGAAUGAAAGGGGGAGAGGAUGAGAAAGCAAGAGGUAAAACUUAGUCGCUUCUUUGACAAACGAGUGAAACCAACGAUCCUUGAAGGUUGCAAGGAGAUGAGGAAUGAUAUGAGAAAGAAGCAAGAAUUCACGGAAAAUUUCGGCAGCACUUCGGUAGGAAAAUGGGACAAUAAAUUCGAUAAGAAGGAAGAAUUAGACAAUAUUCAUAACAAACAACUAAAUAGAACAAGGGAACACCAUGAUCUUGAUAGAACAACAAGAUUGACCCAAAAGAGCAAUAUCACAAUGCCUCCGAAACAAUAGAAUAGGAAUUAGAUCAUAUGAAAGAAGAGAAUGAAGAAAAGAAUGACAACUACUAUGUCAAAUGAACUUGGCAAGCAUCCUUGCGAGAAUAAUUGAACGAAAUUGUCUGAAAAACAACAACGAAAAGAACAAAAUAGCAGUGGGCUUAUGGAAAACUUUUCAAAUUAAUGAAGUGACAACCAGCCACUAACAGAAACAAGGAUAGAUUGGGAGAAACAAGAUAUGAACAAUUCUUACACCAAGAGGAUACAUUGAGAACUUGGAUUAAUGACAAGCACCAUGAUAGCAACAAUCCAUAGGAAAAUCUUUAGGUGAAAUCCAAACCAAGAUAGCUGAAUGAAGAAAUCAUGGGUUGAAAAUAUCUCAUGAUCAUAGAAUUGGUGGGUUUAAUUAUCUCAUUCUUGAAAGGAGAACUCUUUGAGACUCCUACACUAACAAGGAUGCUAUAAUACCACCUCAAAGGAUAAAGGAAGAACAAUUGCACAUAGAAAUGCAAGAGAAAGGAUACUUGAGGUUCUCCAACAAGAAUCUUGAAGAACACUUGAGAAUGAAUUGAAACCUUGAUGAACAACCAUGAAGGACCUCCGUAUACAAAUGAAUGAUGCCACGAUAUGAAGGUAGAAAACAAUAAGAUUAUGACCUUGCCAAGAUUUAGAUGAAGUCUCACAAAGACAUACCGGUAGACUUGGAACUUUGGAAAAGAAAGAUAAGCACCUGAGAAAAGAAUUGAUAUCAUGAGCCACUCCGGAAGAAGAAUUCAGAUUACUAUGAACAAGAAUAAGAAUUAUGUUAUGCUCAUCCUUCAUCAAGUUUAAUUGAUGACAAGCAACGGAUUAGCAUACAACUUAUUCUUCUUGAAAGAAACUUGAAUAGAGAGAUAGGUAAGCACCACUUGAAGCAUAAUUGAAGGAAGCACCGCUAAGAAUUCACAAUUGAAUGGAAACACCACGAAUUAAUGGAGAUACAUGAGAAUGAAGAGAUCACGAGCCACCUAAGAGAAACUAGAACAAGGCACCAGAAUAAAUGAGAGACGAACGAAGAGACAACAAUUGAGAAGAAUUAGAGAACGAAUUCUUCUGAAAUGAUGGCCUUCGGAGGAACGAGAAAUAAAAACAACUCAGAAAUGCAUCGGAUAGCAAGAAAGGGAUACUCAUGAUUGGAACAAUUAAGAUGAUGGCACCAAGCUGAAAUGAGGACUCUCCAAGAGAAAGAACAAAGAAUUGAGAGAAACACUCAUUCGGUCUUCAAAGCUGAAAUGAUGAGGAGAACACCACCAAGAAUAACUGAGACACUCCAGAAUAAAGAAGAAUGAAAGGUUGAGCCAAAUAUGAGAUUUAAUUCAAAUAGGCCUUGGAGGAGGGAUAUGACUGAUGAAAUUCAUACUUACGUCAUAGUUGAAAAGAAUUAAUGAUCUCCGGGAAAAAUUAGAAGAGCCAGGAAAGAUUCUCGGAAAGAACCUGUGGGUUAUGGGCCCACUCAAAGAAACCACCAUUGAAAAUAUUGAAAGAAAGAUUGAAUGCACCGGUACAAAUGAAAAACUAGAUGAGGUUAGCACCUCGAAAUAACUGAAGGAUUGAAAACCAGAAUUUCUGAGAUAACUUCAGCACUCCGGAUAGACUAGAGAGAAAUGAAUAACAAGAUAGGCUGAUAAGAAUCUCCAACAUAGGAUGGAAUUACAAGGACGAAAAGGAUAUGAUGAACACGGACAACUAAAUAAAAUUCACCGGUACGGAUGACAAGAAUGAGCAAAUAUACCACGAAUCUCCUGAGAAUCUUCACAAUGAAUCACCAGAUAAAAGAGAAAAGAAGAGAUAGCGGAAGCUAUAAAGAAAUGAAAUGCACUUGGAUGAAAUUAAAACACUGAAAAAAGGGCGGGAGGGCGGGGAAAAAACAAAGACAACUUGGGACAGAUGAGAUGAACUCCGGAAUAAAAUGAGAGAAUGAUCUUGCAAAAUUGCAGAGGAAUGAGUUCACUUGGAGAGAAACACACCGGUUGGAAAAGAAUUAACAACUCCGGUUGACAAAAUUGAUAAGACAAUUGAUUGAGCAAAAGGAUUAGCACUCUCAUAGAAAUAUGAUAACCGCUCUUGGAAAGAUAUGAAAUCACCAACUGACAUCGAAGCAACUCGAAUUACCAUAUUCCAACCAAACAAAGGGUGAGGUUUAUGAAACAAGCCAGAACAAACUCAUGAGAAAGAUUUCGUCCGAUAUUUUCGUGGACACGGAUCGCACAGGCUCGAACCUUACAGUAGCCAUCAAGUGCAAGGCAGUGCACCCGACAUACGAAGCGCCCCCCGAGUCGUAACAAGCUACAAGGACUCUUGAAGACACAACGUGUACUGCUGUAAGUCAACCGUCAACAAACGAAUACUCUAGAUGUCGAACCCCAACCUAACAUCAUGCAUUUGUUGGAAGAUUGUCCUAUAAGCAACUAUUUGAAUUCCCACCUAUGAAUUCCUGAAAUAUCUGGUCAUGCAAUCUGGUACACGGAUACAAGGAGUAAUAUCACACAACUCCUAUACUAACCCAUCACCUGUAUCACAUCCGUCAACACACAACCAGAAUCUCGGACCUUCAUCUACAACAGACCCUCGUGAUCACAACGAUACAAAGUACGGCAGUACUCCUAAACAAUCUACACCAAUACUGGGGACAUCGGGGUUAUCUCGCCACUACUAGUAUUGAAGCAAUUACGAACAUCCUUCGUUCUGAGAUACUAAGAAAUCUGAAUGAUAACGAUGUGCUCAAGAAUCCCUUGGAGCUCAACUCCCCGGAAGAAAAUCAAGUCAGACAGGAGGCACCAAGAUAGAACUCCGUCACAUCGGCAUCAUAUAGAUUCCAAAAAUAUCCGCGUGAUCCUAAUUUUUUUUGAGUGAGAAGAGGAGUAGAAUUAAAAUAUUAUGUCAAAAUUCCUCACCAGAGCAUAGAAGAGGAGAAAAAAAUAAUCCUACUCUUCGAUAUAUAACUGGACUCAAAGUAGUUUUUCACUAGACUCGACUCGGCCAAGUUCGAUCAAUCAAGGGUGCUCCUAGGUCGGUACUGCUCUGAUACCAACUUGUCAUGCCCAAGAUGCGACCCUAUCCUCAAUUUGGCACGAAGGCCUCAUCAAGGAUAGAAGCGCAUCCUGUCGUGUUGCAAGAAUGGACAUCGUUACAAGUACAUGUACUAAAAAGAUGAGAUAUAUAUAGAAUUGGCUUACACUCGCCACAAGCUACAUCAGAGUCACAUUAGUACAUUACAUAAUCAUCAAGAGUAAGAGGAGGGUCCGACUACGGACGAAAAUAAACGAGAAAAUAAGAACGACGUCCAUCCUUGCUAUCCCAGGCUGCCGGCCUGGAACCCAUCCUAGAUCGAUGAAGAAGAAGAAGAAGCAACUCCAAAUGAACAAUCAAUGCGCUCGCCUCAAGUAACCUUUACCUGUACCUGCAACUGGUGUUGUAGUAAUCUGUGAGCCACAAGGGACUCAGCAAUCUCAUUUCCAAAGGUAUCAAGACUAGCAAAGCUUANNNNNNNNNNNNNNNNNNNNNNNNNNNNNNNNNNNNNNNNNNNNNNNNNNNNNNNNNNNNNNNNNNNNNNNNNNNNNNNNNNNNNNNNNNNNNNNNNNNNGAUCUUGUAUUACGGAACGAGUAAAGAGACUUGCCGGUAAACGAGAUUGAAAUAGGUAUGCGGAUACUGACGAUCGAAUCUCGGGAAAGUAACAUACCGAAGGACAAAGGGAAUGACAUACGGGAUUAUAUGAAUCCUUGGCACCGAGGUUCAAACGAUAAGAUCUUCGUAGAAUAUGUAGGAUCCAAUAUCGGCAUCCAGGUCCCGCUAUUGGAUAUUGACCGAGGAGUCUCUCGGGUCAUGUCUACAUAGUUCUCGAACCGCAGGGAAUGUACACUUAAGGUUCGACGUUAUUUUAUGCGUAUUUGAGUUAUAUGGUUGGUUACCGAAUGUUGUUCGGAGUCCCGGAUGAGAUCACGGACGUCACGAGGGUUUCCGGAAUGGUCCGGAAACAAAGAUUGAUAUGUAGGAUGACCUCAUUUGAUUACCGGAAGUUUUUCGGAGUUAUCGGGAAUGUACCGGGAAUGACGAAUGGGUUCCGGAAGUUCACCGGGGGNNNNNNNNNNNNNNNNNNNNNNNNNNNNNNNNNNNNNNNNNNNNNNNNNNNNNNNNNNNNNNNNNNNNNNNNNNNNNNNNNNNNNNNNNNNNNNNNNNNNNNNNNNNNNNNNNNNNNNNNNNNNNNNNNNNNNNNNNNNNNNNNNNNNNNNNNNNNNGUGGUGCACCAGCCCUUAGUGGGCUGGUGGAACAGCCUAAAAGAGCCCUAUGCGCAUUGGAAGAAAAAUCAAAGAGAAAAGGAAAAAAGGAGGAGGUGGGAAAGGAAAGAAGGACUCCACCCACCAAACCAAGUAGGACUCGGUUUGGGGGGGGGGGGGNNNNNNNNNNGUGGCGCACCAGCCCUUAGUGGGCUGGUGGGACAGCCCAAAAGAGCCCUAUGCGCAUUGGAAGAAAAAUCAAAGAGAUAAGGAAAAAAAAGGAGGAGGUGGGAAAGGAAAGAAGGACUCCACCCACCAAACCUAGUAGGACUCGGUUUGGGGAGGGGGGAGACCUUCCCCCUUGGCUCGGCCGAGCCCCUUGGGGCUCCUUGAGCCCCAAGGCAAGGCCCCCCUCUCCCACCUAUAUAUACGGAGGUUUUAGGGCUGAUUUGAGACGACUUUUCCACGGCAGCCCGACCACAUACCUCCACGGUUUUUCCUCUANNNNNNNNNNNNNNNNNNNNNNNNNNNNNNNNNNNNNNNNNNNNNNNNNNNNNNNNNNNNNNNNNNNNNNNNNNNNNNNNNNNNNNNNNNNNNNNNNNNNCCGACUCAGAUGUGGUGGGUUUAACCACAAGCAAUGGGUCGGGAGAAUUCUUCAUCCCCUCAAGUAAUUCUUUAAGCAUGGACUUGACUUCGGCCUUCAUGGACGUCUUUAGUGAGGCCAUAGCCUCAUUCAAGUCGUCCCGUCUAAUCGAACUCAACUCCAUGACCUCGGGCACUUCGUGCCCAACCUCACCGUCGUCAACCAUACUCUUCAGGUGGUGAAACCCUUAAUAAAGAGACAUGGCUCUACUACCAAUUGAAAGGAUCGAUAUGGUUGACUAGAGGGGGGUGGUGAAUAGGCAACUACCAAUUUUUAGCUCUUCUUAACAAACUAGGGUUAGCAACAAAAGGUUCUCUAGAUGAACAACUAGGUGAGCAAGCUAUAUGAUGCUAACAACAAAGACAACAAGUGCAAGCAAGGAAUACACCACAACAAUAAUAAGUACAAAGUAAAGGUAAGAGAUAACCGCAAGUGGAACCAAUGGAGAUGAGGAUGUGUUACUCUAGUUCCUUCCCUUUGGCAGGAAGUACGUCUCCGUUGGAGCGGUGUUGAGGCACAAUGCUCCCAAGAUGCCACUAAGGCCACCGUAUUCUCCUCACACCCUCACACAAUGCGAGAUGUCAUGAUUCCACUAUUGGUUCCCUUGAAGGCGGCGUCUGUACCUUUACAAAAAAGGUUGGGGCAAUCUCCACACAAAGCUUGGAGGCUCCCAACAAGACCACGAAGCUUCAUCACAAUGUAAUGUGGCUCCAAGGUGACCUCAACUAUCCAGGGUGCUCAAACACCCAAGAGUAACAAGAUCCGCAAGGGAUUAGUGGGGGAAUCAAAUAUCUCUUGGUGGAAGUGUAGAUCAGGGCCUUCUCAACCAAUCCCUAGGAAAAUCAACAAGUUUGAUUGGCUAGGGAGAGAGAUCGGGCGGAAAUGAGCUUUGGAGCAACAAUGGAGCUUGGGGAGGUAAGAGGUAAGCUUCCAGAGGAAGAAUACCCCUUUAUAUAGUGGGAGAACAAUCCAACCGUUACCCCACUCACAUCACGAGCAAAGCAGUACUACCGCUGCUAGGAGCGGUCCUACCGCACGGUAGUUUACCAACCACGGUAGUAAAAAAUUACUACCGUGCCUACCACUGCCGAGGAAAAAGGAUGCGCAAAAAGUCCACCGGAGCGGUAGUGAAAAACUAGUACCGCCCACAAAGUGGUAGUAAAAAACUACUACCGUCCAGAGAGCGGUACUACCACCGUGUGUGCGGUACUACCGCUGGCUCAAGCGGUACUACUGUUGGCCCUUUUUCACAUACAUGGAAAAACAUGUUGGAGCUCCAUUGAAGCAAGGGAAAGGUGGUGCAAUAGAAAUGUGUACGUGUUGAUUCCACCCAAACCUUUCAAAGCGGACCCCCUCUUAAUAGUACGGCUUUCCUACGACUCAAAUCCACCAAAGAGAAACGUAAAAAGCAACCGUAUUUGAAAGACUCCGAGGGGCACCGUAUCGUCUUGUGCCUAGUCAUGAAUUAUGUGAAAUGCUCAAUGCACACGAUUAGUCUGCACAGACAUUGUCAUCAAUUACCAAAACCACUUAGGGAGAAAUAUGCCCCAACAGUUACAAAGGUAGGUUUUGGACUUGUCCAGACCCAUGUUGCGAGACUUGGUCGAGUAAGAUUGGAUUUGCCUCUCUGAUUAGGAGAGAUAUACUUUGGGCCCCUCGGGUGAUUUGACGUGGACAAGCAUGGCCAUGCGGUGAGGAUUAUGAGAUAAUACGAAUGUUGGCCGGAUUCACCGGAAUGAGAAAGAGGUCGUGCUGGAACAAGGAUGACCAUGUUGCCUUGUGCAUGACAACAUAUAUCAUGUGGCAAAGGGAACAUAAGUAUUAAGUAUGGGUUCGCCUAACAAGCCUCGUCUGACACUUGGAGUCGGCACGCUUUGCUAGAGGCCGAUAUCGACUAGCCGAGUCGGAUGUGAUCUAACUCACGACCAAGUGAACGAGAACCUAAGGGGUCUCACACUUAAGGGAAGGAACACAUGGGCUUUAGGAUCCGUGCGAGGCCCAAGAGUUGAGCCCGCGCAGCAUGCCUAUAUAUAGUGGAGGUGCAGCACACUUCAUAAUUUGAUUGCUUCGGCACCGUCAUUAGGGCUUUGCAUGUGUUGAAACUAGCCACCUCCACUCGCCGCCGUCGACUGUGUGAUUUGGACCUAGCAGUCCGCCGCACAGCGUUCCUCCUACACGCGCGGAUAUUGUUAGAGGCGGUGCACUUGCGCCGCUCCGACGAAACUGUACGUGGGAUCCGACGAUGGACUGUUUGAGGGAGAGGAUCCGACGACCAACUAUUCGAGGGAGAUUGGACGAGGAGGAGAUGGACCACGCAGAGGCGCUGCCACAACUCUACUUCCGCUGCACGACACUAUGCAUCUAGUGGUAACGAUGUGUGAUCCAUCUCCAUAGCAUGUUCUUGGAUGUUCUACGCGUAUGAAAUUUUUAAUUUGAGUGCUACGCACCUACGGUAGAACCCAACAAUGGAAUCAGAGCCUCUGCUAGUGGUUUUGGUUUCAGAUUUGAUGCAUAUUUGAUAUGUGGAGGUGGCGGAUGAGAUCCGUCGUCAUUCUUGAGAUCGACUAUGUGCACAGUUGAUGAGAUCAACUGCACAUCAGGAUCGUUGAGGCCAUGUUUUGUGUCAAUCGAAAUCGAUGAGGUCGUGACACAACCUACUCCUACCGGUCGAUUUCCGCCAUCAGGGUUAACAAUGAAACGUAAAUCUGAAUUGGGUUCACUAUGAUCGAUUAGAUCGAUAAGAUCAGAAUAUUCGGCGUAAUCAGAGUAGAGAUUCGACCUGUGAUUUCCGAAAAUGUCGCCCCUUCGAACCCCGGCCGCUAACGGGCUAGCUGGACCGCCGUGUGCGUAGCGCCAUGUAGUUCAUACACGAUCACACAAACUGGUAGAAUGUGGUCCUAUGCAUAACUUUGUUUUGCAGGGUUGAAGUGAAUAGUACGACUCAUAUGUAUGUGAUGUAUGUGUGUAAUUUAACAUGACCUGCGCGUCAUGAUUGUGAGCUGGCAGGAGCCAAAGUGCUGUCAUUAUAUUGAUAACGACCUACGUGUAAACUUGUGAUGCUUUAUAAAUUCAUUACUAGUUGUAGUAGUUGGAGGAUAGAGAUCAAGUUUGAGGCUUUGGUGUAUCGGCGUGACGAACAAGAUUGAGUUCCUUCCUAGGCAUCAGAGUUGGAUCCAGAUUAUGGGGAUAUGUACCUCGGGUAGGGUCAUAGGCCUAACCUAAGUGUGCUACCUAAGGGUACGUCAUUAUUAGCUGGAGGGUCACGAAGAAGAUUCUGACUGGAUGGCCAUGGCAUCUAAAAAGUCACUUGGUAAGAAGUCACUCGGAAGAUAUUCCCCUUCAAUCGACAACCAACUUCCACUCAGAAGAUACUAGUCGACACAGAAGACCAGAAGCCACCUCCAAGGAGGCCAACGGGCGAGCGCUCAGCUGAUGGUCAGGAAUAGCAUUAAUUACAUACAUACGUUAUCAGUAACGUAGAACUUUAAACACAAUUGAUCGAACCCUUAGAUGUUGGAGCCUUGAUGAGGGGUAGUGCACUCUAUAUAAGCCACCCCUCCCCUCUGGCACAAGGUUUCGCACCCCGUGUAACACAUAUUCCAGACCGCAAGUGCUCCCGAGCACUGAGACGUAGGGCCGUUACCUCUACGAGAGGGGCCUGAACUCAUAUAUCUUGCGUACAACCUUGCCGUAGCUAUGAGUCUGCCCUCUCCAUUCGUACCCUACACCUCUACUGUUAGGUUCAUUCCCACGACAUUUGGCGCACACCAUGGGGCAGGCGUCUAAGCGACUUCCGGCAAGUUUGCAAUCUUCACUCUCUGUCAUGUCUUCCGGUUGCGAUUCGUUCAUGGGUGGCGAGAUCCGUUUCGGCGCGCUCAUCUUCGUCGCCGAUGACUCGGAACGGCUUUAGGAGGCGCCUCUUGACAUCAAGGCGCUCCCGAUUCAUGGAGCAAUGCACUUCCGUGCAAGCUCCUUCGGCGUACUCCUUCGACAGCCAUCGACUCCGCUGUCGACCGUUCACUCCGCUGUUCGUCGUCACAAGCGAUCCGGUCGCUCACGACUCCAUCAAUGGGUGAAGCACAUAGUGGCUCGCCAGGCGUCAUCUCUGUCGACUCCGCAGGUUGCUGCCAUUGAGCCUGCUGAACCUGUUCGGGACCCGAUCCACUCGGCGUCAGAUCAGUCUGAUGUUUCUUUCGAGUGCGAGAGGUGCAAUCCAGCAGCGGAGGUCUUCAUGGCGGGUUGUGCAGAGAGCCCACCCGGGUUCGGUCGUGGCGAACACAAGGUCGACGAACCGUUGACUAGACACGGCCGUCCUCGUCCUCCGACUUCCAGUCGGUGUCAGCGACAACUCUUCUCGAGUAGUCGACAUGAUAACAUUGAGGUAUAUCGUACUCCGGUACUUAACGUUGCAUCCACAUCUAAGACAACUGAUUCUAUCCAACCAUGAGAUUCAGAGGCUGGUAGAGGCUUAGAUCAGAUUCGAACUACCGAGUGGUUGUGCAUAUUGGCGGAGGCAACGACAACGUCACCAUGAAGCAUUUGUCUCUCAUGUUCGAUGGUUUGGCCAGAACGUGUCUGAAUUAGUUGGCUGCUUCUAGCAUCUACUACUAGGAGGAUCUCACCUGAGUGUUCAUCGAGACAUUUGAAGGCACAUGCAAGCGUCCAGCCGGUGUGUCCGAGUUGCAGCUUUGUGUGCAGAAGUCAAAUGAGUCUUUGAGGGAGUACAUUCAGCGGUGGACCACCCUUCAUCACAGGAUGGAAAAUGUUUCUCAGCACCAGGAAGUUUGUUCCUUCAAAGCUGGCGUUAGAUACAGAGAGUUGUACUUGAAGUUCGGUCGUACAGGCGACAUGUCCAUGAGUAAGAUGAUGGAGAUUGCUGCCCGAUACACCAGCGGUGAAGAAGAAGACCGGAUCCGCAACGGUAAAGGGAAAGCGGUCGACAAUGAUGCCGACGGCAAUUCCAAUCAGAAGAAGAAGCGCAAGGCUGAUGUUUCCACUCCAGCAGAAGCAGCCGCCCUGGCGGCACAAUGAAAAUACAAGGGAAAGUCCAAAGGACAAUUUCCCCCCAAGAAGUCCUAGGGUCAAUCGGAUGUUCUGGAUCAGCCGUGUGUGCUUCACACGAAGAAAGACGAUGAUGGCAACGUGAUAUUGCCUAAGCACAUCACUCGUCAGUGCAGACUGUUGAUCCAACAGUUUAAAGAGGAUCAGUCAAGUGAAAAAGAUCUUGAAAAGGAUAACGACCAAGAGAAAGAUGAUUUCCCAAAGGUUCAAGCAACCGUGAUGAUUUUUGCUGAUGUUGAGAGCAGGAGUCGAUUGAAAGCCAUCAACAGAGAAGUCGAUAUGGCUAUGCCCUCCACUCCCACAUACCUCAAGUGGUCGAAGACGCCCAUAACAUUUGAUCAGUNNNNNNNNNNNNNNNNNNNNNNNNNNNNNNNNNNNNNNNNNNNNNNNNNNNNNNNNNNNNNNNNNNNNNNNNNNNNNNNNNNNNNNNNNNNNNNNNNNNNUUGGCAAACUAUACUUUUCCACAACUACCCUUGAUAUGAAUGAAUGCGUUGCACCAGAAUCAAAAAGUACCAAUACUGGAUGUGAAUUUAGCAAAAACUUACCAACCACAGUAUUGGGGUGAUCAUAGACCUCUUCCACAUCAAUGUGGUUCACCUGAGCUCGAGGAAAAGGAUUGGGCUUGUUUGCUGCAGAGUUGCCGUUGCCGUUUCCAUUUCCCUGCUUGUUUUGGGGACAAUCAGUGGCAUAGUGUCCCUUCUUCUGACACUUGAAGCAAGUGAUGUGAGUCAGAUAGCUGAAUUCUGCUGAGUGCCAGUACCGCCAUUCUUGAAGUUGCUGUUGUUGCGGUGGUUACCAUUUCCUCCAUGGUUGUGGCCUCCAUGGUUGUGCACAGGGUGGUUAUGCUGAACGUGUCCUCCAAACUUACCGGAUCCAGUCCCAGUAUUCCCUAGAUAAGGGGUGUAGCGAGGCUUCUGCUGAGUGCCGGAGUUGAACUUUCCAACCCCAUACUUUCGCUUGCGGUUCUCCAUCUGCGGAUGUUUCCCCUCCAAGAUGAGGGCCUUAUCAACCAGCUCCUGAUAGUUGUUGAAGAUGGCUACCGUCAACUGAAUGCUCAGCUCAUCAUUCAGUCCUUCCAAGAACUUCUCCUGCUUGGCCGCAUCAUCAGCCACAUCUCCAGGUGCAUAACGGGCGAGCAUGCUGAAAUCAUCAACGUACUGGGCCACAGUGCGAUUCCCCUGGCGUAAGUUGCGAAACUCACGCUUCUUCAGACUCAUUGCACCAGCUGAGACAUGUGCGGUGCGGAAGGCUUGCUUGAAUUGCUCCCAAGUGACUCCAGCAAUGGGAUAAGUGGUGGUGUAGUUCUCCCACCAAGCAGCUGCAGGGCCUUCAAGUUGAUGCGCGGCAAAAUGCACCUUCUCAGCUUCAGAACAACCAACGGUGAUGAGCUCACGCUCCAUCUUGCGAAGCCAAUCAUCUGCCACAAUGGGCUCAAUGCUGCUGGAGAAAGUUGGAGGGUUCAACCUCAGAAAACGGGUGAGAUUGUCAGCUUGGGGUGGAUGAUGGUUGUUGUUGUUCUGGUUCUGGAUGAUCAGCUGCAUCAGGGUGUUUUGUUGCUGGAUCAACUGGGUGAGUUCCGGCGGAAAGUUGGACUCAGGGGCGCGUCUCGGAGGCAUCUGAUGUUUGUAGAGGGUUGAGAUUAGCAUAGAAAAAUGGUCUAAGAGGAAUUACACUACCCAUAUGAAUGCAACACACAAAUAUCACACCACACAUUUAUUCAAUCAUCACAAAGGUUCACACGAGGAUACAAAAUUCGAUAAUCCUAAACAUCGGCCUAAAACGUAAAACGAUAAAGUAAAUUUGGUGGUCUAGUCUAAGUGUCCUCCUCAGAAUAGCAUGGUGUCGGGUCCUUCGGUGGAGCUUUCUUCAUAGUCCUCGUCGUUGCUGAUCACGGGGGCUACGUCUCCUUCGGGAUNNNNNNNNNNNNNNNNNNNNNNNNNNNNNNNNNNNNNNNNNNNNNNNNNNNNNNNNNNNNNNNNNNNNNNNNNNNNNNNNNNNNNNNNNNNNNNNNNNNNCUAUAGAAGGAUCGUAUGCUAUAUCGUUGCACAUCCCGGUACACUACCGGAGGCAUUUCAUAUGGAGUCACCAUCAUUGUGAUCUUUGUGCUUUGAGUAAAUAAAAAGUGUGAUGAUCAUCAUUAUUAGAGCAUUGUCCCAUGUGAGGAAAUAAAAAAAAUAGGCCAAAGAGCCCCAAAAAAGAGAAAAGAAAAAAAGAGGCCUAAGAGCCCAAAUAAAAAAAUGAGAGAAAAAUAUAGAAGGGACAAUGCUACUAUCUUUUUCCACACUUGUGCUUCAUGUUAGCACCAUGUUCUUCAUGAUUGAGAGCUUCUUGCUUUGUCACUACCAUAUGCUAGUGGGAAUCUUCAUUUUAUAACUUGGCUUGUAUAUUCCAAUGAUGGGCUUCCUCAAAAUUGCCCUAGUUUUCCUCUUGAGCUUUCACAUACUUAUAGCUCUAGUGCAUCUCUUGUAUGGCAAUCCCUACUCAUUCACAUUGAUAUCUAUUAAUGGGCAUCUCCAUAGCCUAUUGAUACGCCGAGUCGAUGUGAUCAUCUCCUCCUUUUUGUCUCACAACCACCACCACACUCUAUUCCACCUAUAGUGCUAUAUCCAUGGCUCGCGCUCAUGCAUUGCGUGAUAGUUAUAAAAAGUUUGAGAAAGUAAGAGUGCGAAAACAAUUACUUGGCCAAUUUCGGGGUUGUGCAUGAUUUACAUUAGUUGUGUGAGGAUGAGGGAGCAUAGCCAGACUAUAUGAUUUUGUAGGGAAAACUUUCUUUGGCCUUGUUAGUUUGAAAGUUCAUGAUUACUUUGCUAGUUUGCUUGAAGUAUUACUAUUUUCAUGUCAAUAGAAAACUAUUGUUUUGAAUCUUACGGAUCUGAACAUUGAUGUCACGUGAAAGAAGUUGCAAAGGACAACUAUGCUAGGUAGCAUUCCACAUCAAAAAUUCUUUCUUUAUCACUUCCCUACUCGAGGACGAGCAGGAGUUAAGCUUGGGGAAGUUUGAUACGUCUCCAACAUAUCUAUAAUUUUUGAUGGUUUCAUGCUAUUAUCUUGUCAAACUUUGGAUGUUUUGCAUGCUUUUUAUUUAUUUUCUGGGACUAAGUUAUUAACUCAGUGUCAAGUGCCAGUUCCUGUUUUUUUUCCAUGUUUUUGACCCCUUUCAGAGGAGAUUUUGAAACAGAGUCCAAACGGAAGAAAAUCCCUGAAAAGAUUUUUUUGGAACGGAAGAAGGUCGGAGAACUUGGGAGCCAAACCAGAGGAGCGCUAGGGGCCCCACAAGCCCCCACCCCACGGCCAGGGGGGCGUGCCAUCCAGGCUAGUGGGCCCCCUGGAGGUCCUCCGACCUAUGUCUUGCACCUAUAUAUUCCCAUUAAUUCUAGAAAAAAUCAGGAGAUCAUCACAGUCGCUUUUCCGCUGCCGCAAGCUUCUGUCUGUGCAAUAUCCCAUCUGGAGCACGUCCUGGUGCCCUACCGGAGGGGGGAUUCAGAAACGGAGGGCUUCUCCAUCAACACGAUGACCUCUCCAAUGAUGCGUGAGUAGUUCACCAUAGACCUACGGGUCCAUAUCUGGUAACUAGAUGGCCCCUUCUCUCUCUUGGAUCUUCAAUACAAAGUUCUCCAUGAUCUUCAUGGAGAUCUAUCCGAUGUAAUCUUCUUUUGCGGUGUGUUUUUUGAGAUCCGAUGAAUUGUGGAUUUAUGACCAGAUUAUCUAUGAAUCUUGUUUGAGUUUCUUCUGAUCUCUCUUAUGCAUGAUUUCAUAUCCUUGUAAUUCUCUUCGAGUUGUGGGUUUUGUCUGGCCAACUAGAUCUAUGAUUCCUGCAAUGGGAGAAGUGCUUGGUUUUGGGUUCAUACCGCGCGGUGACCUCACCCAGUGACAGAAGGGGUAGCAAGGCACGCAUCGUGUUGUUGCCAUCAAGGGUAAAAAGAUGGGGUUUUCAUCAUUGGUUUGAGAUUAUCCCUUUACAUCAUGUCAUCUUGCUUAAAGCGUUACUCUGUUCGUCAUGAACUCAAUACACUAGAUGCAUGCUGGAUAGUGGUCGAUGUGUGGAGUAAUAGUAGUAGACGCAGAAAGUAUCGGUCUACUUGUCUCGGACGUGAUGCCUAUAUGCAUGAUCAUUGCCUUAGAUAUCGCCAUGACUUUGCGUGGUUCUAUCGAUUGCUCGACAGUAAUUUUAUCACCCACCGUAAUACUUGCUAUUUUGAGAGAAGCCUCUAGUGAAAACUAUGGCCCCGAGGGUCUACUCCACACCAUAUUUUCAGCCUUACAGUUUUUAUUUUGUUGCACUUUCUGCAUUCGGAUCUCACUUUGCAAACAAUCUUGAAGGGAUUGACAACCCCUUGGAAGCGUUGGGUACAAGAAGGUACUCUGGACUUGACGAGGCCCUCCUUCUGGAUCGAUACCUUGGUUCUCAAACUGAGGGAUAUACUUACUGCUCCUGUGCUGCAUCACCCUUUCCUCUUCAAGAGAAGAACCGACGCAAGCGCAACCUCUCUCAACGU